UAGCUAAAGAAAGUAAGAAAAAAAGCAGACUGUUAUGGCUGAAUGUAAGGAGGAGGGACAUUUCGUAUGGUUUGAGUGUUGUUUCAGAAGGUUUCAUUUGUAGCUACAAUGGAGGGUUUUAGUGUUUCAGGGCCAUUGAAAAACACUAAACCAGUAAAUGUAUCUAAGAUAUCGUAGUUUGUGGUUCGUGUAACAUGAAAAAUAGUUGCUUUUGGUUCAGCCAA